GUCGAGGGGCAGCACAAAGAUAGUUUACUAUUUUGGUGGCGACCGGCGCACGGGUGAGUAACGCGUAUGCAACCUACCUUAUACAGGAGUAUAGCCCGAAGAAAUUCGGAUUAAUCCUCCAUAGUAUUUUCUAAUGGCAUCAUUUGGAAAAUUAAAGCUUCGGCGGUAUAAGAUGGGCAUGCGUCCUAUUAGCUAGAUGGUAAGGUAACGGCUUACCAUGGCAACGAUAGGUAGGGGGCCUGAGAGGGUGAUCCCCUACACUGGUACUGAGACACGGACCAGACUCCUACGGGAGGCAGCAGUGAGGAACAUUGGGCAAUGGAGGCAACUCUGACCCAGCCAUGCCGCGUGCAGGAAGAAUGCCCUAUGGGUUGUAAACUGCUUUUAUUUAGGAAUAAACCCUUCUACGUGUAGAAGGCUGAAUGUACUAAACGAAUAAGCACCGGCUAACUCCGUGCCAGCAGCCGCGGUAAUACGGAGGGUGCAAGCGUUAUCCGGAAUCAUUGGGUUUAAAGGGUCCGCAGGCGGACGUAUAAGUCAGUGGUGAAAUCCUGCAGCUUAACUGCAGAACUGCCAUUGAUACUGUACGUCUUGAAUUCGGUCGAAGUGGGCGGAAUGUGUAGUGUAGCGGUGAAAUGCAUAGAUAUUACACAGAACACCGAUAGCGAAGGCAGCUCACUAGGCCUGGAUUGACGCUCAGGGACGAAAGCGUGGGGAUCAAACAGGAUUAGAUACCCUGGUAGUCCACGCUGUAAACGAUGAUUACUCGUUUUCGGCGAUAUACAGUCGGAGACUAAGCGAAAGUGAUAAGUAAUCCACCUGGG
rnacentral:rRNA from 1 species